UGGGGAAUAUUGGACAAUGGGCGAAAGCCUGAUCCAGCCAUGCCGCGUGUGUGAUGAAGGUCUUCGGAUUGUAAAGCACUUUAAGUUGGGAGGAAGGGCAGUAAGCGAAUACCUUGCUGUUUUGACGUUACCGACAGAAUAAGCACCGGCCAACUCUGUGCCAGCAGCCGCGGUAAUACAGAGGGUGCAAGCGUUAAUCGGAAUUACUGGGCGUAAAGCGCGCGUAGGUGGUUCGUUAAGUUGAAUGUGAAAGCCCCGGGCUCAACCUGGGAACUGCAUCCAAAGCUGGCGAGCUAGAGUAGGGCAGAGGGUGGUGGAAUUUCCUGUGUAGCGGUGAAAUGCGUAGAUAUAGGAAGGAACACCAGUGGCGAAGGCGACCACCUGGGCUCAUAAUGACGCUGAGGUGCGAAAGCGUGGGGAGCAGACAGG
rnacentral:rRNA from 1 species